rnacentral:ribozyme from 1 species
UUUUAUUGUAGCUCUCUUAAUGGGGUAGGAUCCGAGACUCCUUUCGGGGUUAUCCUACCCAACUCCUAUUCCGUCACGUCCUCGGCGUACAGAGUGGCAACUUUCCCCACCACAUAUCCAAGCUUGGGUACACGGGCCUGUCCCAACCUCUUGGUCGGAUGGUGGAGUAAGGCUAAACAGGAGGGG